rnacentral:lncRNA from 1 species
CAACUAUCUUGUUGCUUGUGGCCCAGAUGACUGCUCUGAGCUUUGGCUUUGGAAUGUACAAACAGGAGAACUAAGGACAAAAAUGAGCCAGUCUCAUGAAGACAGUUUGACAAGUGUGGCUUGGAAUCCAGAUGGGAAGCGCUUUGUGACUGGAGGUCAGCGUGGGCAGUUCUAUCAGUGUGACUUAGAUGGUAAUCUCCUUGACUCCUGGGAAGGGGUAAGAGUGCAAUGCCUUUGGUGCUUGAGUGAUGGAAAGACUGUUCUGGCAUCAGAUACACACCAGCGAAUUCGGGGCUAUAACUUCGAGGACCUUACAGAUAGGAACAUUACAAGAAGAUCAUCCUAUUAUGUCUUUUACUAUUUCAAAAAAUGGCCGAUUAGCUUUGUUAAAUGUAGCAACUCAGGGAGUUCAUUUAUGGGACUUGCAAGACAGAGUUUUAGUAAGAAAGUAUCAAGGUGUUACACAAGGGUUUUAUACAAUUCAUUCAUGUUUUGGAGGCCAUAAUGAAGACUUCAUCGCUAGUGGCAGUGAAGAUCACAAGGUUUACAUCUGGCACAAACGUAGUGAACUGCCAAUUGCGGAGCUGACAGGGCACACACGUACAGUAAACUGUGUGAGCUGGAACCCACAGAUUCCAUCCAUGAUGGCCAGCGCCUCAGAUGAUGGCACUGUUAGAAUAUGGGGACCAGCACCUUUUAUAGACCACCAGAAUAUUGAAGAGGAAUGCAGUAGCAUGGAUAGUUGAUGGUGAAUUUGGAGCAGACGACUUCUGUUUAACUUAAAAUUAGUCGUAUUUUAAUGGCUUGGGAUUUGGUGCAAACAAACAUGAUUGAUAGCUGGACAGACAUGCUCGUCAUGAAAAAAGAACCAUUUCUGAAGCCCGAUUGGGGCCAAACAUUUACACCUUGCUUCAUAGUAACCAGUUGAGAUGAAGCACGUCGUUAGAACGUUGUUGGACACCAUGUUGAAUUAUUCCCCCAUCGGUUGUGAAGAACUGUGCUACAUUCAGGCUUACCCAUUGAACUCAGUAUAUAUAUUUUUUUCCUUCCUGUCUUUUGUCUGGCAGGAUACCAUUCUUGUUGCUCUUCUGUGUAAUGAAGUUUAAAUGCUUGUUUGGAAAACUUUAUUUAACAGUUUAGAAGGCUUGAUAGAAAGAGUGCAUUAGUCUGAAGAGUAUACAUUGGAUAGGAAAGAAUUUCCUUCUUUUGUUUCUCCAAAUCUUUCCGCCUUAUUUAGCUUGAGAUCUUUGCAGCUUGGUUCAUGGAUUCUAGCCUUGCCCGUUGCGCAGUAUAUACUGAUCCAGAUGAUAAACCAGUGAACUAUGUCAAAAGCACUCUCAAUAUUACAUUUGAC